AACGAACGCUGGCGGCAUGCCUUACACAUGCAAGUCGAACGGCAGCGCGGACUUCGGUCUGGCAGCGAGUGGCGAACGGGUGAGUAAUAUAUCGGAACGUACCCAGGAGUGGGGGAUAACGUAGCGAAAGUUACGCUAAUACCGCAUACGUCCUAAGGGAGAAAGCGGGGGAUCGCAAGACCUCGUGCUCAUGGAGCGGCCGAUAUCUGAUUAGCUAGUUGGUGGGGUAAAAGCCUACCAAGGCAACGAUCAGUAGCUGGUCUGAGAGGACGACCAGCCACACUGGAACUGAGACACGGUCCAGACUCCUACGGGAGGCAGCAGUGGGGAAUUUUGGACAAUGGGGGCAACCCUGAUCCAGCAAUGCCGCGUGAGUGAAGAAGGCCCUCGGGUUGUAAAGCUCUUUUGUCAGGGAAGAAAAGGGAUUGGCUAAUAUCUGGUCCUCAUGACGGUACCUGAAGAAUAAGCACCGGCUAACUACGUGCCAGCAGCCGCCGUAA
rnacentral:rRNA from 1 species